rnacentral:tRNA from 2 species
GGAGAGGUGCAGGAGUGGUUGAACUGGCCGCUCUCGAAAAGCGGUAUGGGGCAACCCAUCGAGGGUUCGAAUCCCUCUCUCUCCGCCA